rnacentral:rRNA from 1 species
AUUGAACGCUGGCGGCAUGCCUUACACAUGCAAGUCGAACGGCAGCACGGGGCAACCUGGUGGCGAGUGGCGAACGGGUGAGUAAUGCAUCGGAACGUACCUUUCAGUGGGGGAUAACGUAGCGAAAGUUACGCUAAUACCGCAUAUUCUGUGAGCAGGAAAGCAGGGGAUCGCAAGACCUUGCGCUGAUUGAGCGGCCGAUGUCUGAUUAGCUAGUUGGUGAGGUAAAGGCUCACCAAGGCGACGAUCUGUAGCGGGUCUGAGGGGAUGAUCCGCCACACUGGAACUGAGACACGGUCCAGACUCCUACGGGAGGCAGCAGUGGGGAAUUUUGGACAAUGGGGGCAACCCUGAUCCAGCCAUGCCGCAUGAGUGAAGAAGGCCUUCGGGUUGUAAAGCUCUUUCGGCCGGGAAGAAAUCGCACGGGCUAAUACCCUGUGUGGAUGACGGUACCGGAAUAAGAAGCACCGGCUAACUACGUGCCAGCCGCCGCCGUAAUAC